rnacentral:lncRNA from 1 species
CUCUGGGCCUCACUGUGUGGACCAGCGUCCGCCUGGUGCUGGGAAUCCUCAGGGAGCCCCAGCUGUGGAGGCCGCCCCAGGCCAAGCAGGGCCACCUGCCCUGGGGUGGGGUCUGGUUCUUAGUGGCUGGGACAGUGUUGGGCGUGCUGGCCGGGGGUUCUGAGAGCCCUGUGAGCCAGGAGGCUGCGGUGUAGACUGCUUAUUGCUGAGCCGGGCAGGCUCAGGAGGGAGAGAUGGCCCCUUCCCUGGACAAGCAAUUCUUGCUCACGUGUGCUUUCCAGGCCCUUGACGCAAGCAGAGACGCAUGGGGAGAUAAGGGCUGGAGGAGGGCGUGUGGACAGGCUGGCCCCGUCCCAGCUCCCGGGCCAGCAGCCCCCGGCCCCCGGCCCUCGCCGCCCGCCCACCGGGCCCUGCCUCAGCACUCUUCCCACAGCAGGUCUUUGUGCCCCAAUCUGGCAGGUGCGGGGGUGGGACGGGGUCCUUGGCAUGAAGCAGCCCUCUGGCUGCAUGUGACAGUGGCGGCCAAGGUCUCCCCUGUGCAUAAAUGUGGACCUCGCUGGGCAGCAGCAGAACUCCAGGCUCAGAGAGUUCUCCACCGCUCCUCCUGGCUCAGAUUUCUCCACGCUCCUCCGGCUCAGAGUUCUCCACCGUUCCUCCGGCUCAGAGAGUUCUCCACUGUUCCUCCCAGGCUCACAGGCUACCCAACGCCAGCGGCCCAGGAGGCUGGACCAGAGGAUCUUGGUGCCCACCAGGCCUCGGUCCCGACUUCUCUCGCUGCCUGGCACGAGACCUUCCCCCAGGACAGCCAUCUCCUGGUGCUGAAGAGCUGGCCCUUCGCAGAGCUGCCCGCAGAACCGCCCGCCGUUCCUUUUUCCUAUGCAUAUACUUCUUUGAGGGUCUGGCCUAAAGAGAAGCUGCAGCGUGUGGGGCCCACUUGUUACACCAGCGGGAGGCGGAGGGCCCAGGCGCAGACGGCAGCGAGGCGUGGCCGAGGACGCGUGCACUCUGGGUCUGCACGCUUUUGCUGCUGCCUUUUUUUUUUUUUGAGACAGUCUCGCUCUGUUGCCCAGGCUGGAGUGCAGUGGCGGGAUCUCGGCUCACUGCAAGCUCCAUCUUCCAGGUUUAAGCGACUUUCCUGCCUCAGCCUUCCAAGUAGCUGAGACUACAGGCACCUGCCACCAUGCCUGGCUAAGUUUUGUAUUUUUAGUAGAGAUGGGGUUUCACCUUUUUAGGCUGGUCUUGAACUCCUGACCUCGUGAUCCACCUGCCUUGGCCUCCCAAAGUACUGGGAUUACAGGCAUGAGCCACCGCGCCCGGCCAGCGUUUGCUUCUUAACACCUUUAUUACUUUUGUAAUCACGGGUAUGAGUUGAUUUUCUGGUCAGAAAUGUCAGUAGAGCUAAUUUCAUUUAAAUGUGUGAGGUGUGGUAAAGUUUUGAUAAUAAAUGCAAAUUUUGAUAAAGAGGCUCUGUCGUGCUGGUCUCCUCUCAUUCGCGGUGGUCGGAUGUCACAUUAGUCAAGCGUGGACUUGGGGGAACUUAGUUAAAAAUGUGUGAACCUAAGGGGGAUGAAAUGGGUCCUGGGGCCUUGGUUGGGGGCCUGGGCUGGGCACCGGUCUGGGGCCACCCUCCUGAUGACCAGGGUCGCUGGAACAAGUCCAGAGCCUGGGACCGGCUGGCAGUGUUGGGAGAGCCCAGAGGGACGGCUUGUGAGGGUGCGGGACACUGGUCUGCCCUGGGUGGGGGUCCUGUGGCUUCCCAGCCUCCACAAUGGCCAGGGUGGGACUGUGGUCUUGACUUCCCGCUGAUGAAAAAUGGACAGGGGGUCCCUCAUCACGCUGGUUUAAAGAAUGACUGUCGGCUGCUGUCUUAAAAGGAGGCCUGAAUGGGAGGCCGGGAGACCCCACCCUUCAGCCAGAGUCCUUGCCAGCCGGCAGGGCCACGCCCAGGUCUUUGAAGGCCGCAGCCUUUGCUACCAAUGAGCCCAGCAAACAGAGCAAUGAGCCGGCUGAGCGGGAGGCCUCCAGGCGCCCUUAUCGGGGUUGCCUCCCCCCGGCUGCGUCUCCUCUCCAAGCCUAGCACUAAUCUCAUCUGAUAGUCACCUCCCACCUCCCUCACAGCCGGCAGCCUGGGUGUCCCAGGGGAAACCUCGGGCAGCAGGCAGAGGGGUGGGUGCCUCCAGCUGGGACGGCUGCAGGUCACAUGUGGAAGGGCAGCCACGCCCCCCACCCCGAUGAGCUCGGCUGCUCCCCCCAGCCCCCUGGGGAACGGUGGAGGUUGACCCCGCUCAGGAGUCUCUUCCAGGCCUUUGAGUCACUCUCCACAGGACACCUUAACACAGGGUUUUAAAUCUGCACAGACUAAAGCAGGUGUCACCUCACUGUGCUGUGUGGACACGCAGCAGCUACAGACGGCGUCAACCGAAUGGCGGAUGCAGGCACGGCUGGAUCCAGGGAGCCAAAGGCUCUGCCUCACUCUGUGCUCGUACCCUACUCGGCUCUGUUCCUCUGCUUCACUUUGCGCUCGCUUGUACCCUGCCUGGCUCUGUCCCCGCAGGGCUGUCAUCAACAGCACCUGCUGGGCUGUGAGAGGAGACGCCCCUGCUCUCCAGCACGGUGGCCAUUUCCCCAGAAGAGCUGUGGUUCCGAGUCCAAGCAGCCCCUCCCUGCAGUUUCCUGGAUAGUCUCAGGUGCAGAAUCUAAAAGAGAAGUGCACGAGCCCUGCGGACUCCCCGCGGAGAGGGCAGUGGAUAUUCUGCCAUAUUUAUGUCAUGCUGUGUUUUGAACCCUUUGAAUGUCAGUUUCAGAUCUGAGGCCCUGAGUGCUGCCUCUGGAGACAGGGUUUCUCCACACCUGAGGACACGGACCACUCCCCAGCACUGUCCUGAGCCCUCGGAAUCGUCCCCACCAGCUGUACGGGUCCGUGCUUUCCCACACUUCUUCAUCACGGCUCAUGCGUGCGUCUGCGGCUGUGUCGCCUCGGCCUCUGCACCAAGGGCACCCCACCCUCUCCCAGAGGCUUCUGCAGGAGCCCAGCUGAGUCCCCUGGGAGUCCCCGAGGGUUCCUGUCCACUGGAAGUUAGAUGUGGAGGUUCCCAGAGAUUCUUGGCAAGAUUAUUUCAUAGCAACUGCCCCUCCUACCCAACCUGCAGGGAAGGAGCCGGCACAGCCCUUGGCCCCACGUGGCUGAACAGCUCAGAGGGAAAGGAGGGUGAGCAGGAGCCUGGCGGCAUCCAGCAGCCCCCGGCCCAUCGGCAGCCAGAGCUCGCCGGCGUCCACACCCGGGCCCACAGCCUCUCUGUCCUGACAGCCGCUCGGGUUACAUACAGAGAGGACAAGGCAGUGACAAAGGGUGUCUGGGGCUUGGGACAGACACAUGACACACACACAGCACACACGUUCACUACAUGACACACGCAUAGCACACGUUCACUACACACCCACACACAUUCUACACAAAACACGCACAGCACACACGUUCACUACACACGACACACACAGUACACAUGUUCACUACACACCCACGUACACUGCACAAGUUCACCAUACAACAUGCACAGCACAUACGACACACACGUAGUGCACAUACACAACACACAGUAGACACGUUCACUACACAUGCACACAUGCUACAUACGACACAGCACUCAUUACACAUGCAGAACACACACGAUACACAGUAACACCACACGUGCAUAGCUACACACGCAU